rnacentral:tRNA from 1 species
GCGCCGGUAGCUCAGCUGAAUAGAGUGCAACCCUCCGAAGGUUGAGGUCAGGGGUUUGAAUCCCCUCCGGCGCA